rnacentral:rRNA from 1 species
AUUGAACGCUGGCGGCAUGCUUUACACAUGCAAGUCGAACGGUAACAGGCCUUCGGGCGCUGACGAGUGGCGAACGGGUGAGUAAUGCAUCGGAACGUGCCCAGUCGUGGGGGAUAACGCAGCGAAAGCUGUGCUAAUACCGCAUACGAUCUGCGGAUGAAAGCGGGGGACCUUCGGGCCCCGCGCGAUUGGAGCGGCCGAUGCCAGAUUAGGUAGUUGGUGGGGUAAAGGCUCACCAAGCCAACGAUCUGUAGCUGGUCUGAGAGGACGACCAGCCACACUGGGACUGAGACACGGCCCAGACUCCUACGGGAGGCAGCAGUGGGGAAUUUUGGACAAUGGGCGCAAGCCUGAUCCAGCAAUGCCGCGUGCAGGAAGAAGGCCUUCGGGUUGUAAACUGCUUUUGUACGGAGCGAAAAGGCUCCCUCUAAUACAGGGGGCUCAUGACGGUACCGUAAGAAUAAGCACCGGCUAACUACGUGCCAGCCGCCGCAGUAAAAC